CAGAUUUUGAGUACAAUUUGCUGUGAGUAAAACAGUGAAGUUAUUUCUUACUGUUUUGUGUUUUAUUACUAGGAAGCCUUCACCCAGGACCAUUUGCCACCAGUGUGCCCAGAAAACCAGGCAGAGCUGACUGCCGAGUGUCCUGUGUGCAGAGGUGCAUUCGACAUUGAUGUAAUUGAGACUCAUGCAUCUGACUGUGGAUUACGGACAGCAGACCAGGAAGGCAAUGGCAGCAUUUUAAGUGAAGCAAUGAACUCCAUGUUUCCGCUGGUGAGCCCCGUGUUGUACGCAGUGGAGCAGGAUCUCAGAGCAUCAUGAACGGAUUUAUCCACCCACGGCUUCUGAUUAAGAAACAUUCUGAUGAUAGUCUUGUGAAUUGUAUCACCCGCUAGUUUCCUGAUGAAUCCCACAACUGCUUCUGUAAACAUGUUGAUGUCAUCAGAGCUGCGCUGAAACAUGUCCCAGUCUGCAUCAUCCAGAGCGUCUUGCAGAGAAGCCACCGAUUAGUCCAUCCAGCGUUAGACCUCCCUCCGAGCCGUAACUUCCUGCUUGAGCCUUUGUUUAUAUUUUGGCAUGAGGAAGAUGGCGGCGUGGUCAGACUUUCCAAAAGAAGGGCGAGAUUGUGCCUUGUAGCUGUCUCUGACUGUUGUGUAGCAGUGGUCUAGUGUCCUUUCACCCCUGGUGGGGCAGCUGAUGUGCUGAUAAAAGUUUGGUGCUGCACGUUUGAGGUUGGCACUGUUAAAGUCCCAUGCCACAAUAAGCACAGCAUCCCGGUGUUGUGUCUGAUGCAGUGUGAGUGCUUCAUGCAGCUCGCAUAAAGCAGUGUCCGUGUCCGCCUGAGGUGGAAUAUAAACGGCGCUGACUAUGACUGAUGUAAACUCAAGUGAAGUGUUCUGUCCAUGCAGUGAACCGAGAAGAACUCGGCAGGCUGGAUGGCGUGGUCCGGCACCGCAGGGUUCAGCCAUGUCUUGGUGAAGCAGAGGAGAUUGCAGUCCCGAAUGUCUCUCUGGAACUUUACCCUGGUCCUGAGGUCAUCGAGCUUGUUCUCCAAUGACUGGAUGUUGGCGAGCAGAAUGCUAGGCAGAGGUGUGCAGUGUGCACGGGCUCUCAGCCUGUUCCUGACGCCAGCUCGUUUCCCCCGGGGCCGCCGCUUCGGGUCGUGUCCUUUGUUCUCCCUUAGGAUCUCACUCAGCCAGCUUGG